AUUGAACGCUGGCGGAAUGCUUUACACAUGCAAGUCGAACGGCAGCACGGGGGCAACCCUGGUGGCGAGUGGCGAACGGGUGAGUAAUACAUCGGAACGUGCCCGGUCGUGGGGGAUAACGUAGCGAAAGUUACGCUAAUACCGCAUACGAUCUGAGGAUGAAAGCGGGGGACCUUCGGGCCUCGCGCGAUCGGAGCGGCCGAUGUCAGAUUAGGUAGUUGGUGGGGUAAAGGCCUACCAAGCCGACGAUCUGUAGCUGGUCUGAUAGGACGACCAGCCACACUGGGACUGAGACACGGCCCAGACUCCUACGGGAGGCAGCAGUGGGGAAUUUUGGACAAUGGGCGCAAGCCUGAUCCAGCCAUUCCGCGUGCAGAACGAAGGCCUUCGGGUUGUAAACUGCUUUUGUAUGGAACGAAAAGGCUCUGGCUAAUACCUGGGGCUCAUGACGGUACCGUAAGAAUAAGCACCGGCUAACUACGUG
rnacentral:rRNA from 1 species